GCGCCCGUAGCUCAGUUGGAUAGAGUAUCUGGCUACGAACCAGAGGGUCAGGAGUUCGAAUCUCUUCGGUCGCACCA
rnacentral:tRNA from 1 species